rnacentral:rRNA from 1 species
UACGAAGGUCCCAAGCGUUAUCCGGAUUUAUUGGGUUUAAAGGGUGCGUAGGCGGGUUAUUAAGUCAGUGGUGAAAGCUCCAUGCCUAACAUGGAAAUUGCCAUUGAUACUGAUGACCUUGAGUACAUUUGAAGUGGGCGGAAUGUGUCAUGUAGUGGUGAAAUACUUAGAUAUGACACAGAACACCGAUUGCGUAGGCAGCUCACUAAACUGUAACUGACGCUGAGGCACGAAAGCGUGGGGAGCAAACAGG